UUGAAUUAUAUUUGAAUAAUUUUCGUACGAUCGAUAUUUAUGUAUUAUUUCGUGGGAAGAGAAAUAUUUGACGAGCCAGUGAGUUUUGUUUCACGAUUAAUUCUUUUCUCUUUUUGUUUUGUACUUUUCUUCGUUCCGAUAAAAAGUUUUUCAAUGUUUUACGAGGAAAAAGAAAGGAUUACUUUUUCUUUUUUUUUUCUUUCUUUUUCUUUUUCUUAUUUAAUAUGUAUAAUAUUUUAUGAUCCCUUAGAUUUAUAAGAUAGCGUUUUAAAGUAUCAAGGGUAUAGAUUCAAGGACACCCACGCUUCUGUCCUUGACAUUCUCUAACGAAACGUGACACACUGUAUGUUGAUCGCGUUCAUAUCAAACGCCCACCGGCAAAGGAACAUUUAACAGUGAAUUAGAUUAGCGAUUUGCACUGGCGCCAUUCCCUUUUACACGUUCGUAUAAUACAAGGAAACUUUAACAAUCAAAUUACUUUGCUUUUACGCAGUUUGGACUUUCAGCUGGUCAACUCGUUCGGCAAAGAGCUUACCAGUUCUAAGAGCUAAACAACCUAAGGAGUUUACACAUAUCGUUGGGAAAGUUUGACCAAAGCUAUUACGAAUAUUACAUUAAAAUAUGUGCGAAAUGAAAAAAGAAAAUUUUGGCGUAGCACUUUUCAAUUAAAAUCCAAUUCCAAUUUGACUAAAACGUUUGAGAAUGUUCAUUUGAAAGAUUAAUCAACGAUGAACGAUAUUGAAGGACAAUCUCGAGAAGGGAAUAAAAACAGUUUUGUUUCUCGGUAGAGACAAAAAAUACAAAAAAGCGAUAGAGAGAAA
rnacentral:lncRNA from 1 species